rnacentral:lncRNA from 1 species
CCAUCUGGUAUUAGAUUAGAUUUAAAGGACUGUUAUUAUGUUCCUAUAGCUAGUCGAAAUUUGAUUUUUGUGUCUGUGCUAGCACAGAAAGGUUCUAAAAUUUAUUUUAACAAAAAUUUUUAUUCUAUUUAUUUAUAAAAUAAAUUGAUUACAUGAAAUCUUUUAAUUGACAGUCUUUAUCACUUGCAUAUUGAUGUGAAUGUAAACCUAAA